GGUCGCGUAGUGUAGCGGUUAACACUCCUGCCUGUCACGCAGGAGAUCGCGGGUUCGAUUCCCGUCGAGACCGCCA
rnacentral:tRNA from 1 species